rnacentral:rRNA from 1 species
AGCCGCCACGGGAAUACGAAGGGUGCAAGCGUUACUCGGAAUUACUGGGCGUAAAGCGUGCGUAGGUGGUGGUUUAAGUCCGUUGUGAAAGCCCUGGGCUCAACCUGGGAAUUGCAGUGGAUACUGGGUCACUAGAGUGUGGUAGAGGAUAGUGGAAUUUCCGGUGUAGCAGUGAAAUGCGUAGAGAUCGGAAGGAACAUCUGUGGCGAAGGCGACUAUCUGGGCCAACACUGACACUGAGGCACGAAAGCGUGGGGAGCAAACAGGAUUAGAUACCCGUGUAGUCCCUGUCUCUUAUACA